rnacentral:rRNA from 1 species
GAGGGAAAGGCGAAAGAACCCGGAGGGGAGUGAAAUAGAUCCUGAAACCGCAUGCAUACAAACAGUGGGAGCCUCCUUGAGGGGUGACUGCGUACCUUUUGUAUAAUGGGUCAGCGACUUACGUUCAGUAGCGAGCUUAACCGAAUAGGGGGAGGCGUAGGGAAACCGAGUCUGAUAAGGGCGCCUAGUUGCUGGACGUAGACCCGAAACCAAGUGAUCUAUCCAUGGCCAGGAUGAAGGUGCGGUAACACGCACUGGAGGUCCGAACCCACUAAUGUUGAAAAAUUAGGGGAUGAGCUGUGGAUAGGGGUGAAAGGCUAAACAAACUUGGAAAUAGCUGGUUCUCUCCGAAAACUAUUUUAGGUAGUGCCUCAAGUAUCACCGACGGGGGGUAAAGCACUGUUAUGGCUAGGGGGUC